AACGAACGCUGGCGGCAGGCCUAACACAUGCAAGUCGAGCGAGGACUUCGGUUCUAGCGGCGGACGGGUGGGUAACGCGUGGGAAUGUGCCCUUCUCUACGGAAUAGCCCUGGGAAACUGGGAGUAAUACCGUAUACGCCCUUUUGGGGAAAGAUUUAUCGGAGAAGGAUCAGCCCGCGUUGGAUUAGGUAGUUGGUGGGGUAAUGGCCUACCAAGCCGACGAUCCAUAGCUGGUUUGAGAGGAUGAUCAGCCACACUGGGACUGAGACACGGCCCAGACUCCUACGGGAGGCAGCAGUGGGGAAUCUUAGACAAUGGGGGCAACCCUGAUCUAGCCAUGCCGCGUGAGUGAUGAAGGCCUUAGGGUUGUAAAGCUCUUUCAGCUGGGAAGAUAAUGACGGUACCAGCAGAAGAAGCCCCGGCUAACUCCGUG
rnacentral:rRNA from 1 species